UACAGAGGGUGCGAUCGUUAAUCGGAAUUACUGGGCGUAAAGCGCGCGUCGGCGGCUUUGCAAGUCGGGUGUGAAAUCCCCAGGCUUAACCUGGGAACUGCAUUCGAGACUGCAUUGCUAGAGUAUGGGAGAGGGAAGUGGAAUUUCCGGUGUAGCGGUGAAAUGCGUAGAUAUCGGAAGGAACAUCAGUGGCGAAAGCGACUUCCUGGACCAAUACUGACGCUCAUGUGCGAAAGCGUGGGGAGCAAACAGG
rnacentral:rRNA from 1 species